rnacentral:rRNA from 1 species
UUUUGGCCAUUUCUCAAAAACGGAGGAAAAGAAACCAACAGGGAUUGCCUCAGUAACGGCGAGUGAAGCGGCAAAAGCUCAAAUUUGAAAUCCUCAGGGAAUUGUAUUUUGAAGGUUGACAGAGAUUGAAGGAUUCUUCUUAAGUUCAUUGGAAAAUGACGCCAUAGAGGGUGAUAGCCCCGUGAAGAAACCAAAUCCAUCUAUUUCUCUGUUCUCCAAAGAGUCGAGUUGUUUGGGAAUGCAGCUCUAAGUGGGUGGUAAAUUCCAUCUAAAGCUAAAUAUUGGCGAGAGACCGAUAGCGAACAAGUACAGUGAUGGAAAGAUGAAAAGCACUUUGAAAAGAGAGUGAAAAAGUACGUGAAAUUGUUGAAAGGGAAGGGCUUGCAAGCAGACACAACCUCGUGUUGGGCCAGCAUCGGGGCGAGGGGAAGUAAAACAGUCAAGAAAUAUAACUCCCUUCCGGGGAGCAUUACAGUCUUUGUCCUACCACUUCCAUCUCAUCCCGAGGCCUGCGAUUCUUCAAGGAUGCUGGCGUAAUGGUUGCAAGUCGCCCGUCUUGAACCACGGAACAAACAAUA